rnacentral:rRNA from 1 species
GGGCCCGCACAAGCGGUGGAUUAUGUGGUUUAAUUCGAAGCAACGCGCAGAACCUUACCUAGGCUUGAAAUCCUCAGAAUUCCGAGUAAUGUUGGAAGUGCCCGCAAGGGAAUUGAGUGACAGGUGCUGCAUGGCUGUCGUCAGCUCGUGUUGUGAAAUGUUGGGUUAAGUCUCGCAACGAGCGCAACCCCUAUCUUUAGUUGCCAGCAUUAAGUUGGGCACUCUAGAGAGACUGCCCGGGUUAACCGGGAGGAAGGUGGGGAUGACGUCAAGUCCUCAUGGCCCUUAUGCCUAGGGCUACACACGUAAUACAAUGGCACAAACAAAGGGAAGCGAGCACGCGAGUGUUAGCAAA